rnacentral:tRNA from 1 species
GCCCCGGUGGCUAAGCCCGGUUAUAGCAGCGGCCUUGUAAGCCGCAGGUCGCGGGUUCAAAUCCCGCCCGGGGCUCCA